rnacentral:rRNA from 1 species
AUGGAUAGAUGGAUGGAUCUAUCUUUCUAUUCAGAUAUCUUUUGCAAUCAGCCCCAAAUCCUUGAUUUGGCCAGGAAACAAAACACUGCUUUGGGCCCAGGAAGCAAAGGGAAUGAACUCGGCUGCUUCUCCCCCACACUUCUUUAUUUCUCUGUGCCCCUUCCGCAUGCGCUUCGCGCGCCAUUGGGCUUUGCUCUCCUCUUAUUUCUUCAUUGGAGGGUUCGGAUGGACUUCACCGUUCUUUCCCAACGAAAAUGGAAAGGGUUGUAUCACAUCGAGAUGUCGAUUCGUUUUCCGCCCCAAAUGAGAUAG